GACGAACGCUGGCGGCGUGCCUAAUACAUGCAAGUCGAGCGAACCUGAUAAAAGCUUGCUUUUUGAAGGUUAGCGGCGGACGGGUGAGUAACACGUGGGCAACCUGCCUGUAAGACUGGGAUAACUUCGGGAAACCGGAGCUAAUACCGGAUAAUAUAAAGAACCUCCUGGUUCUUUAUUGAACGAUGGUUUCGGCUAACACUUACAGAUGGGCCCGCGGCGCAUUAGCUAGUUGGUGAGGUAACGGCUCACCAAGGCGACGAUGCGUAGCCGACCUGAGAGGGUGAUCGGCCACACUGGGACUGAGACACGGCCCAGACUCCUACGGGAGGCAGCAGUAGGGAAUCUUCCACAAUGGACGAAAGUCUGAUGGAGCAACGCCGCGUGAGCGAUGAAGGCCUUCGGGUCGUAAAGCUCUGUUGUUAGGGAAGAACAAGUACCGGAGUAACUGCCGGUACCUUGACGGUACCUAACCAGAAAGCCACGGCUAACUACGUGCCAGCCGCCGCCGUAA
rnacentral:rRNA from 1 species